UACGUAGGGUGCAAGCGUUAAUCGGAAUACUGGGCGUAAAGCGUGCGCAGGCGGUUUUGUAAGUCUGUCGUGAAAUCCCCGGGCUCAACCUGGGAAUUGCGAUGGAGACUGCAAGGCUAGAAUCUGGCAGAGGGGGGGUAGAAUUCCACGUGUAGCAGUGAAAUGCGUAGAGAUGUGGAGGAACACCGAUGGCGAAGGCAGCCCCCUGGGUCAAGAUUGACGCUCAUGCACGAA
rnacentral:rRNA from 1 species